GACAAAAAAGAGAAGAAGAUAAUGUCUCGGGCAGAGGGGAUCUCCUUGCCAACUAGCCAGAAGCAUGUAAAAGAAAAUCAAACCAAUUGGGGUCGUCCUUUUAGCCAAUCUUUUUCAUGCCCACUACCUCUUCCAAACGGAACCCUUUGCCAAGGAAAAAACUGGGGCAUAAGAGUCUCAUACAAAUUUUUCAUCAACCCAUGACCCAAGACUGGGGCAGCUUUGUGAGUCUCAUACAAAUUUUUCAUCAACCCAUGAUCCCAAGACUAGGGCAAAUUUGCAAGUCUCAUUUGAUUUGUUCACCCCAAUUUUCAUGGAUCCAAACCCCAACUCAUUUUCCCAAACACAAAACCGGGGCAAAAUUUUUGGUAUGUCAUCUCCUUUGAGGAUUGUAGUACCCAUGUGCCGGUCCCAGUCUUCCAAACCAUUCCAAAUGACUCUCAUUCUCUUCAAAACCAUCCUCUUGCCAAUAAAUUCAAAUGUGUGUGCACUUAUGUCUCGGAAGAAAAGUCAAAGUGUAAUAAUCUCAAAGUUUAGAUCUUGGAUGUAUGACAUUCCUCAGUUUUCACAAAACGUUGAAAAUAAAGACCAGUUUGAUGAUUACAAGUAAGAUGACUGACUCAAGCAAAAUGACAUGCAAAAACAAAGCAAAUGUUUUUC
rnacentral:lncRNA from 1 species